rnacentral:rRNA from 1 species
CUCGUAGCAUAUAGCUCAGUAACACGUGGUCAAGCAACCCUGCAGACACGGACAACCUCGGGAAACUGAGGCUAAUCCGCGAUACCGAUCCCACGCUGGAAUGCCGGGAUCCACAAACGCUCCGGCGCUGCAGGAUGCGGCUGCGGCCGAUUAGGUAGACGGUGGGGUAACGGCCCACCGUGCCGAUAAUCGGUACGGGUUGUGAGAGCAAGAGCCCGGAGACGGAAUCUGAGACAAGAUUCCGGGCCCUACGGGGCGCAGCAGGCGCGAAACCUUUACACUGCACGCAAGUGCGAUAAGGGGACUCCGAGUGCGAGGGCAUAUAGUCCUCGCUUUUGAGAACCGUAAGGCGGUUCUCGAAUAAGAGCUGGGCAAGACCGGUGCCAGCCGCCGCGGUAAUACCGGCAGCUCAAGUGAUGGCCAAUCUUAUUGGGCCUAAAGCGUCCGUAGCUGGCCACGAAAGUCCGUCGGGAAAUCCAUCUGCCCAACAGAUGGGCGUCCGGCGGAAACUUCGUGGCUUGGGACCGGAAGGCUCGAGGGGUACGUCCGGGGUAGGAGUGAAAUCCCGUAAUCCUGGACGGACCGCCGAUGGCGAAAGCACCUCGAGAAGACGGAUCCGACAGUGAGGGACGAAAGCUAGGGUCUCGAACCGGAUUAGAUACCCGGGUAGUCCUAGCCGUAAACAAUGUUCACUAGGUGUGGCACAGGCUACGAGCCUGUGCUGUGCCGUAGGGAAGCCGAGAAGUGAACCGCCUGGGAAGUACGUCCGCAAGGAUGAAACUUAAAGGAAUUGGCGGGGGAGCACUACAACCGGAGGAGCCUGCGGUUUAAUUGACUCAACGCCGGACAUCUCACCAGCUCCGACUACNGUAAUGACGAUCAGUUGAUGACUUUAUCACG